AUUGAACGCUGGCGGCAGGCUUAACACAUGCAAGUCGAGCGGAGUGGCGCACGGGUGAGUAAUGUAUAGCUAAUCUGCCCUACACUAGAGGACAACAGUUGGAAACGACUGCUAAUACUCUAUAGUGUAGGAUGAGGCUCUAUUGUAUUAGCUAGUUGGUGAGGUAAUGGCUCACCAAGGCGAUGACGCAUAACUGGACUGAGAGGAUGAUCAGUCACACUGGAAGUGAGACACGGUCCAGAAUCCUACGGGAGGCAGCGGUAGGGAAUAUUGCUAAAUGGGGGAAACCCUGGAGCGGCAACGCCGCGUAGAGGAUGACAAUUAGCGGAGAGUAAACUCCUUUUGUAAGGGAAGCGGUACCUAACGAAUAAGCACCGGCUAACUCCGUGCCAGCAGCCGCGGUAAUAC
rnacentral:rRNA from 1 species